rnacentral:rRNA from 1 species
GAGUUAUCUGAACCUUCGGGGAACGAUAACGGCGUCGAGCGGCGGACGGGUGAGUAAUGCCUAGGAAAUUGCCCUGAUGUGGGGGAUAACCAUUGGAAACGAUGGCUAAUACCGCAUGAUGCCUACGGGCCAAAGAGGGGGACCUUCGGGCCUCUCGCGUCAGGAUAUGCCUAGGUGGGAUUAGCUAGUUGGUGAGGUAAGGGCUCACCAAGGCGACGAUCCCUAGCUGGUCUGAGAGGAUGAUCAGCCACACUGGAACUGAGACACGGUCCAGACUCCUACGGGAGGCAGCAGUGGGGAAUAUUGCACAAUGGGCGCAAGCCUGAUGCAGCCAUGCCGCGUGUGUGAAGAAGGCCUUCGGGUUGUAAAGCACUUUCAGUCGUGAGGAAGGUAGUGUAGUUAAUAGCUGCAUUAUUUGACGUUAGCGACAGAAGAAGCACCGGCUAACUCCGUGCCAGCAGCCGCGGUAAUACGGAGGGUGCGAGCGUUAAUCGGAAUUACUGGGCGUAAAGCGCAUGCAGGUGGUUUGUUAAGUCAGAUGUGAAAGCCCGGGGCUCAACCUCGGAAUAGCAUUUGAAACUGGCAGACUAGAGUACUGUAGAGGGGGGUAGAAUUUCAGGUGUAGCGGUGAAAUGCGUAGAGAUCUGAAGGAAUACCGGUGGCGAAGGCGGCCCCCUGGACAGAUACUGACACUCAGAUGCGAAAGCGUGGGGAGCAAACAGGAUUAGAUACCCUGGUAGUCCACGCCGUAAACGAUGUCUACUUGGAGGUUGUGGCCUUGAGCCGUGGCUUUCGGAGCUAACGCGUUAAGUAGACCGCCUGGGGAGUACGGUCGCAAGAUUAAAACUCAAAUGAAUUGACGGGGGCCCGCACAAGCGGUGGAGCAUGUGGUUUAAUUCGAUGCAACGCGAAGAACCUUACCUACUCUUGACAUCCAGAGAACUUUCCAGAGAUGGAUUGGUGCCUUCGGGAACUCUGAGACAGGUGCUGCAUGGCUGUCGUCAGCUCGUGUUGUGAAAUGUUGGGUUAAGUCCCGCAACGAGCGCAACCCUUAUCCUUGUUUGCCAGCGAGUAAUGUCGGGAACUCCAGGGAGACUGCCGGUGAUAAACCGGAGGAAGGUGGGGACGACGUCAAGUCAUCAUGGCCCUUACGAGUAGGGCUACACACGUGCUACAAUGGCGCAUACAGAGGGCGGCCAACUUGCGAAAGUGAGCGAAUCCCAAAAAGUGCGUCGUAGUCCGGAUUGGAGUCUGCAACUCGACUCCAUGAAGUCGGAAUCGCUAGUAAUCGUGGAUCAGAAUGCCACGGUGAAUACGUUCCCGGGCCUUGUACACACCGCCCGUCACACCAUGGGAGUGGGCUGCAAAAGAAGUAGGUAGU